rnacentral:rRNA from 1 species
GAUGAACGCUGGCGGCGUGCCUAAUACAUGCAAGUCGAGCGAACGGACGAGAAGCUUGCUUCUCUGAUGUUAGCGGCGGACGGGUGAGUAACACGUGGAUAACCUACCUAUAAGACUGGGAUAACUUCGGGAAACCGGAGCUAAUACCGGAUGAUAUUUUGAACCGCAUGGUUCAAAAGUGAAAGACGGUCUUGCUGUCACUUAUAGAUGGAUCCGCGCUGCAUUAGCUAGUUGGUAAGGUAACGGCUUACCAAGGCAACGAUGCAUAGCCGACCUGAGGGGGUGAUCGGCCACACUGGAACUGAGACACGGUCCAGACUCCUACGGGAGGCAGCAGUAGGGAAUCUUCCGCAAUGGGCGAAAGCCUGACGGAGCAACGCCGCGUGAGUGAUGAAGGUCUUCGGAUCGUAAAACUCUGUUAUUAGGGAAGAACAUAUGUGUAAGUAACUGUGCACAUCUUGACGGUACCUAAUCAGAAAGCCACGGCUAACUACGU